CAGGCAGCUGCUCCCAACCCCAGCAACUUUGCUAUCUUAGAACGGAUCACCAGUGAAAGAGGGGAAGUUGCUACUGUGAUGAAUUCUGCCAUGUGGUACCAGACUGCUGCCCAGACCACAGUGUCCUCUGCAACCCUGCUUCUCAGAUGACCAAGAUGGUGCUGCCGAUGGUGUUGAGGACGGAGAACCCACCAAGCCCCGUUAGGAGCCACCUAGACUGGAUGCAGAGCACAGUUCAGCGACUUCUCCAAACCAGCCUCCCAGGAAUGCUGUUCUCUAUGGCCGUGAGGGGAAUCAAGAAGAGAGCCUGACUCCUCUCCUGAGGUCCCUUCCACACCCUGAGCCAGCAGGAUCCACGGAGCAGAGGUCAUCUGCCCGCAACUUGGCCCACUGAGGCCAGCAUGGCUGGGCCCAGGAUGCUUGUCUCUCAGCUCCCAUCCUGUGUGCUUCCACAUUGGUUUAACCAGAGCAAAACUGACAUCUACAAUUGUCAUGAACAUAUUUAAAUGUGCAUAGAAUCAGCCAUACAAAUUAUGAACAUA
rnacentral:lncRNA from 1 species